rnacentral:rRNA from 1 species
GAUGAACGCUGGCGGCGUGCCUAAUACAUGCAAGUCGAGCGAACGGACGAGAAGCUUGCUUUUCUGAUGUUAGCGGCGGACGGGUGAGUAACACGUGGAUAACCUACCUAUAAGACUGGGAUAACUUCGGGAAACCGGAGCUAAUACCGGAUAAUAUUUUGAACCGCAUGGUUCAAAAGUGAAAGACGGUCUUGCUGUCACUUAUAGAUGGAUCCGCGCUGCAUUAGCUAGUUGGUAAGGUAACGGCUUACCAAGGCAACGAUGCAUAGCCGACCUGAGAGGGUGAUCGGCCACACUGGAACUGAGACACGGUCCAGACUCCUACGGGAGGCAGCAGUAGGGAAUCUUCCGCAAUGGGCGAAAGCCUGACGGAGCAACGCCGCGUGAGUGAUGAAGGUCUUCGGAUCGUAAAACUCUGUUAUUAGGGAAGAACAUAUGUGUAAGUAACUGUGCACAUCUUGACGGUACCUAAUCAGAAAGCCACGGCUAACUACGUGCCAGCAGCCGCGGUAAUACGUAGGUGGCAAGCGUUAUCCGGAAUUAUUGGGCGUAAAGCGCGCGUAGGCGGUUUUUUAAGUCUGAUGUGAAAGCCCACGGCUCAACCGUGGAGGGUCAUUGGAAACUGGAAAACUUGAGUGCAGAAGAGGAAAGUGGAAUUCCAUGUGUAGCGGUGAAAUGCGCAGAGAUGUGGAGGAACACCAGUGGCGAAGGCGACUUUCUGGUCUGUAACUGACGCUGAUGUGCGAAAGCGUGGGGAUCAAACAGGAUUAGAUACCCUGGUAGUCCACGCCGUAAACGAUGAGUGCUAAGUGUUAGGGGGUUUCCGCCCCUUAGUGCUGCAGCUAACGCAUUAAGCACUCCGCCUGGGGAGUACGACCGCAAGGUUGAAACUCAAAGGAAUUGACGGGGGCCCGCACAAGCGGUGGAGCAUGUGGUUUAAUUCGAAGCAACGCGAAGAACCUUACCAAAUCUUGACAUCCUUUGACAACUCUAGAGAUAGAGCCUUCCCCUUCGGGGGACAAAGUGACAGGUGGUGCAUGGUUGUCGUCAGCUCGUGUCGUGAGAUGUUGGGUUAAGUCCCGCAACGAGCGCAACCCUUAAGCUUAGUUGCCAUCAUUAAGUUGGGCACUCUAAGUUGACUGCCGGUGACAAACCGGAGGAAGGCGGGGAUGACGUCAAAUCAUCAUGCCCCUUAUGAUUUGGGCUACACACGUGCUACAAUGGACAAUACAAAGGGCAGCGAAACCGCGAGGUCAAGCAAAUCCCAUAAAGUUGUUCUCAGUUCGGAUUGUAGUCUGCAACUCGACUACAUGAAGCUGGAAUCGCUAGUAAUCGUAGAUCAGCAUGCUACGGUGAAUACGUUCCCGGGUCU